UUUCUAUCACGUCUGACGAUAGGUUGAGGCGCAAUGGUCGACGAUCCUAUCUCCGACGAGGACCUGCCGUUGAUAGUCAGAGCUUUCUCCUCCGCCCUUUUGUCCGAUUACAGGUUUACCAUCAUGUUGCUACCAGGAUCCCUGACACAUCUGCUUUCCUUCGUGAAUUGACUCUUAAAUCCAUGCUUACUCUGGCUCCUAAGCUUUCUCAACGUACUAUUUCAGGGUCAUUAUUAAAGUAUCUCUCAAAG